rnacentral:sRNA from 1 species
GGGUAUUCCAGACCAUGACCCGAUUAUGUAUGGGUUUGCGGCGUUUAAUCAAAAAGCGCUUCAAUAAAGAAUUUACAAACUUUGGUGUCAAUUGGCGUUUCCAUAUCAUCAUCGCUGAGACCAAGCCUUUGAGGAGAUCUGCGCAAGAAAAUAUCUAAGAAGGACUUGACAAAACCAAAGUAGAAAACCUCGGCAAUGCAAAUGACGCUGAAGCCCACCAUAAGGCUAAGAACUCCCCCAGUUUGGGCUGUUUGUAUAAAUUUCAAGAAAUUUAAAUAAAACACAAAAUUGUUUCACUCUU